CCGAACUGUCAGCACAGAGCCUGAUGUGAGGCUCAAACCCACGAACGGUGAGAUCAUGACCUGAGCUGAAGUCAGACACUCAACCCAUUGAGCCUCCCGGGCGUCCCUGGAGGAAGACAGAGUUUAAGGGGAGUGACAUCCAGGUCACAGAGUUGGAGAAGCCUCCAGGAAGUGCCAGGAUAGGGGAUUAGGAGAGCCAGCUUGGGAAAAGUUGAGUGGCCCAGAGCAGAACGGGAACGGCGGAAGACGGCCGUGGUCCACGCACACCAGCUCAGUUGCUCCCACAACCACACCGCCCCGGGUUACCCCCAUUGUCAGGGAAGGGAAAAGACACAGGACUUGAGUAACUUGGCCAAGGUCAACAGCAAGCUGAGGGAGCAGCCAGGGCUUGAAAGGGAUAUUCGCAUUCUGCCCCCUGUCCGCUGCCGGCCCAGAAGAUCCAAGCCUUCGGGAUCAUCCGUCCCUCCGGUCCCCGGCCCUAGGGCUCCCCACGUGGACACCC